UACGAAGGGGGCUAGCGUUGUUCGGAAUCACUGGGCGUAAAGCGCACGCAGGCGGAUUGAUAAGUCAGGGGUGAAAUCCCGGAGCUCAACUUCGGAAUUGCCUUUGAUACUGUCUAUCUUCGAGUUCGGGAGAGGUUGGCGGAAUUCCUAGUGUAGAGGUGAAAUUCGUAGAUAUUAGGAAGAACACCAGUGGCGAAGGCGGCCAACUGGCCCGAUACUGACGCUCAUGUGCGAAAGCGUGGGGAGCAAACAGG
rnacentral:rRNA from 3 species